rnacentral:rRNA from 1 species
AGCGAACGCUGGCGAUAGGCCUAACACAUGCAAGUCGAACGGCAGCACAGUAAGAGCUUGCUCUUACGGGUGGCGAGUGGCGGACGGGUGAGGAAUACAUCGGAAUCUACUUUUUCGUGGGGGAUAACGUAGGGAAACUUACGCUAAUACCGCAUACGACCUACGGGUGAAAGCAGGGGAUCUUCGGACCUUGCGCGAUUGAAUGAGCCGAUGUCGGAUUAGCUAGUUGGCGGGGUAGAGGCCCACCAAGGCGUCGAUGGGUAGCUGGUCUGAGAGGGGGAACGGCCACAUUGGGACUGAGAUACGGCCAAGACGGCUACGGGAGGCAGCAGUGGGGAAUAUUGCACAAUGGGCGGAAGACUGAUGCAGCAACGCCGCGUGCGGGAUGAAGGCCUUCGGGUUGUAAACCGCUUUCGCCUGUGACGAAGCGUGAGUGACGGUAAUGGGUAAAGAAGAACCGGCUAACUACGUG